UUAACUCAUAUUUGUAUGGAAUAGGAUCGUUUGCCUACAUUUGCCACUAGGAGCGCUGUUCCAACUACAUACAAAAUUGGGUUA
rnacentral:pre_miRNA from 1 species